rnacentral:rRNA from 1 species
CAAUCAGCGGAGGAAGAUUCCGAAUGUGCGCAUGAGUAUUUGCAUGUCGAUACGCGGAAGAAGUUUCCCUUACUGCUUUCGACAUCCUAUCUCUUGGUUCUGGCAUCGAUGAAGAACGCAGCGAAAUGCGAUAAGUAGUGUGAAUUGCAGAAUUCAGUGAAUCAUCGAAUCUUUGAACGCACAUUGCGCCCUUUGGUAUUCCAAAGGGCAUGCCUGUUCGAGCGUCAUUUGUACCCUCAAGCUUUGCUUGGUGUUGGGCGUCUUGUCUCUAGCUUUGCUGGAGACUCGCCUUAAAGUAAUUGGCAGCCGGCCUACUGGUUUCGGAGCGCAGCACAAGUCGCACUCUCUAUCAGCAAAGGUCUAGCAUCCAUUAAGCCUUUUUUUCAACUUUUGACCUCGGGAUCAGGUAGGGGAUACCCC